rnacentral:ncRNA from 11 species
AGGCUUGUAGCUCAGGUGGUUAGAGCGCACCCCUGAUAAGGGUGAGGUCGGUGGUUCAAGUCCACUCAGGCCUA